AGUACCGUGAGGGAAAGGUGAAAAGAACCUCGAACAGAGGAGUGCAAUAGACCCUGAACCCGUCUGCCUACAAGCGGUAGGAGCGCCAUUAAGGUGUGACUGCGUGCCUUUUGCAUAAUGAACCUACGAGUUACUGUUUGUGGCAAGGUUAAUUGUUAUAAUCAAGACAAGGAGCCGAAGCGAAAGCGAGUCUUAAAAGGGCGCCCAUUUAGUCACGAGCAGUAGACGCGAAACCAAGUGAUCUACCCUUGGUCAGGUUGAAGGUUAGGUAACACUAACUGGAGGACCGAAUCGGUAAGCGUUGAAAAGCUUUCGAAUGAACUGAGGGUAGGGGUGAAAGGCUAAUCAAACUUGGAGAUAGCUCGUACUCCCCGAAAUGCAUUUAGGUGCAGCCUGUCGGAUGUUAUCAUGAGGUAGAGCGACUGAUUGGAUGCGAGGGUUUCACCGCCUAUCAAGUCCAGAUAAACUCCGAAUGCAUGAUAAUUGACCGAUGGAGUGAGGGCAUGGGUGCUAAGGUCCAUGUCCGAGAGGAGAAGAAUCCGGACCACCGGCUAAGGUCCCGAAAUAAUUGCUAAGUUGUAAAAACGAAGUCAAGAUGCAGAGACAGCUAGGAUGUUGGCUUGGAAGCAGCCAUUCAUUUAAAGAGUGCGUAACAGCUCACUAGUCGAGGAUUUUGGCAUGGAUAAUACACGGGCAUAAGCAAUUUACCGAAGCCGUGGGAUAUAGUAAAAUAUCGGUAGGGGAGCAUUCCAGCGACGUAGAAGGGAAAAGGGCGACUUUUUCUGGAGUUUCUGGAAAAGCAAAUGUAGGUAUAAGUAACGAUAAAGGGGGCGAGAACCCCCCUCGCCGAAAGACCAAGGAUUCCUGAUCAACGCUAAUCGGAUCAGGGUUAGUCGGGGCCUAAGGAUAAGCCGAAUGGCGAUUCCGAUGGACGAACCGGUUAAUAUUCCGGUACUGAUACAGAGAGCGAUGUGGUGACGGAGAAGUGACAGUCCGGCCGUCUGACGGAAUAGGCGGUUAAAGGGUGUAGAUGUUGAUCGGGGUAGGCAAAUCCGCCCUGAGAGUCGAACCUGACAGUACCCGGAGUACAAGUACGAAGGGAUAAGGACGUAACCCGGCUCCCAAGAAAACCCGCUAAGCAUAUUUCUGUGUUACCCGUACCGUAAACCGACACAGGUGGUUGGGUUGAGUAUACUAAGGCGCUCGAGAGAUUCGCGGUUAAGGAACUAGGCAAAAUGGUCCUGUAACUUCGGGAGAAAGGACGCCUGUCUCCGGACAGGCCGCAGAAACCAGGCCCAGGCGACUGUUUAACAAAAACACAAGGCUAUGCAAAAAAGCAAUUUGAGGUAUAUAGUCUGACACCUGCCCGGUGCUGGAAGGUUAAGAGGAGGAGUCAUCGUCAAGAGAAGCUCUGAAUUGAAGCCCCAGUAAACGGCGGCCGUAACUAUAACGGUCCUAAGGUAGCGAAAUUCCUUGUCGGGU
rnacentral:rRNA from 1 species